ACUACAAGUCCCAGGCUGCGCGGCGCGCGCAGCUGCAGCAGGGAUGACCUGAUUGGGCGCUGAGAGGAUUGUCCUCGAGGCACCUUUCUUUCACCUCCUGCCCCGCCCCUUUUAGUACCGUCCUGGACGCAAGAGGCGGCGGCUUUUGCGCGGCUUCGGCGCAGGGACGAUUCCCCCCUGAUUUUGCGCCAGCAAUUGCUCAUAGCUUCACCGAGGAGACGGGAAGGAAGGAAGAUGACCGGUGGAUGCGGUUCUUUUCAAAAAACUUCCUAGACCUCAAGGGUGGAAUUUUACAGCUGACUGGGUUGUUAUAAACUCUAAAGUCAUGGAAAGCAAUGGAAUGUGCAACAACUGUAUAAUGUUGUAAGUUCAUGGGCUGAGAAGAUUGAGCUUCAGUUUCAGGAAUGAUAACAUCUUUUCAUUUGCAUUGUUGACCUAAUUGUGCAAUUCCACUGAAACCUAUCCACCAAAUUUUUUAAAGAUGCAAAGACAAGAAAUGUAAAUAGGCAAUACCACACAGAUGCAGUCUCCACCCAAGAUACAAUACAUGUGUGUAGUGUUGUAGAUCUGUGUAAGAGGGGUUUCAAGGUACCUUAAGCAGAUUCUGUUGGUUGGUAAAUGGAACUAACACCAUGAUCCUGAGUGCAUUAUUUGACUAUCCCAUCAUUUUAAAUGCUUUAGCUUGGCAUUCUUUCUCAGCUCACAUUUGUGAGUGUAGGAUUCCCUAAAUGAAAAGAUAGCAGUGUGCACAUCACAUAUCUGGUUCCAGCAAGCACAACUGAUUAUGUAAAUAGGCUCUGAGGUUUUUACUUUGAUCUGCAAUGUUUUCAGCUAGCAAUAUCUUAUUUUAAUUUUCAGAUUAAGAACAUUUAGCCUCUAUACUUUUGAC